GUGCCAGCAGCCGCGGUAAUACGAAGGGUGCAAACGUUGCUCGGAAUCAUUGGGCGUAAAGCGCACGUAGGCGGCUUGCCAAGUCGGACGUGAAAUCCCUCAGCUCAACUGAGGACGUGCAUCCGAAACUGGCGAGCUUGAGUACUGAAGAGGAUCGCGGAAUUCCCGGUGUAGAGGUGAAAUUCGUAGAUAUCGGGAGGAACACCAGUGGCGAAGGCGGCGAUCUGGGCAGAUACUGACGCUGAGGUGCGAAAGCGUGGGGAGCAAACAGGAUUAGAUACCCCCGUAGUCC
rnacentral:rRNA from 1 species